UUAACUGCAUUUAGCAGGUGUGAAAAGUCCAGCGCACGGAAAAGUGAAAGACUAGCCAACAGCCGAGCCAAGAAUAGAGCCUGCUCUUGCUUUUUCCACCAGACCACUCUACCUCUCACAAACGUCACACUGCAAGGUUACUUUUCUUGCCAGGAGCUGUAAGAAGGAAUUUUUUUCCACCAAGUAAGCAACAGUGGGGCAGCAAGGGCUUUCUUAGGCCCCACACUAGCCUCCUCUUGCCCCUCCCGGAUCGCCGAUGGAGAUGUCUGGGCAUGAACUAGCGGAGCAGGGGGCCUUUGAGAUGCAGGUGAUUGUCCAAGAGUCAUCAGUGACAGAAGGAUUUACAGCUCUUUCCAGAGAUAUGUGUGCAGCAGCCGUGGUGCUUUGUCUACCAGCCAGACCAGCAGCCCAGGCAGCUGAGCCAGAGGAGCCAGGACUUCCUCAGCAGCUUCAGCAAGCCUGCUGCUUCCAGCAGCGCUGUGUAGGAAACGGUGACUGUGCUCCUUUUCUUGUCGGUUGUGAGUGCGUACUGCAUCAGAAGAAGUACAAAUGGCACCUGUCUAUUCCCAGCAGGCUGCCAACACCAUGGCCUACCAUGGCCUGCUUCGUACCUGGAUCCCAGCCUGUUCCACCUGCAAAGCUCUUGGCUGUGCCAGAUUGUAAAAUGUCUUCCUUGAAUAUUGAGCCCUGCGUGGCUUUCUCAAAAAGAGCAUUCUGCAUUUCAGUAACUGAGGUUUUUAAUGCAGAAAAAUCAGUGCCAGGUGGUUAGGUUCAGAGCCUUUUAAUGUUGUGUUCAUUAAAAUCUCAUCGCGGUAGAUUUUUUUCAGUAAAAUCUUUGAAAAGCUUUUUAUGUCAACAAAUCCUAGAAAAGCUUUUUAUAUCAAUAUUAAUCAUACAAAGCCUUUUUUAAUAUCAGCGUAACUUCUAAAGGCUUUCCUAACUAUAAAACCUUUAUCAAUGCAGUUUCUAAAUUUAUUAUGAGCCAUAUAAAGGUAAUAACCAAAGCACAAGCAAGCAGCACAUUGCAAAGUAUGAAUUAAAAAAAAACUAUUGCUUUCUUAUAAACCUGAAACUCUACAAAACAACAUUAAUGUUGUGGUGAGCCUUAAGUACACCCCUAGAGAAUGUGAAAUGUAAUAUCAGAGACAGAGAAUGUCUGUACAGGGACACAGCCAUUACAGGUUGGGGCUGCCUUUUCUGUGGCCUUAAGCAAGGGCUCAUACCCUUCCUACCCUCCCCACUGUGUAAAACAUCAGGAAGUGCAGUGAUGAAUAAGAUCCAUGCAUAAGGCUUGUGAUUCCUCAUAGCCUCUUAAAUUGGAUUUUAUCUUGCUGUUUUAUCAUAUUUACUAGAGAAGAUGCUCCAGGGCCAACAGAAGUGCAAAUGCAAUUAUCAUUCAUCUACAUCUUCCGUUCCAUGUUGCGCUACUGUUCGUAAUUAGAUACUUGCCUGUUGGAGUUGAGCCCUGUACAGUUCUUGAACUGGCAAAUGAAAUGAUACUACCACAAAAUAAUUUAAAUUGGAAGGGGGUCACCUAGUCACCAACCCAAAGCAUGUCCAACUAGAACAGGUUGCUCGGGACUUUGUCCAGUCAUGUUUUGAACAUCUCCAAAGAAGGAGAUUUCACAUCCUCUCUGGGCAACCUGUGCCAAUUUUAACCAUUCUCAAGGAGCAAAUUUUUUUCCUAAUAUCUAAUUGGGAUUUCCCUUGUGCCUGUUGCCUUUUGUCUCACCACUGUCUGCCUCCUAAAAGAAUCUGGCUCUGUCUUCUCUACCUUCUCUUCUAGGUAGUUAUAGACAGUAUUAAGGUCUCCCCUUAGCCUUCUCUUCUUAAGGCUGAAACAACCCAGCUCUUUCAGCCUCUCCUUGUAUGUCCUGAGCUUUAGCUCCCUGAAUGACUUAGUGACCCUCUGCCAGACUCAUAUGAGUCAUGCAUGCUCAGACAAGCAGCAUGCAGUGCAUUUGAUAAUGCUGGGAACCGGGAAGAUUAAAUACUCCUGCACACCAAUAAAUAUUUAAGGAAAAGUAGAAAAGAACUUACUGUGUCCAGGCUUCCUAAAAGUAGAAAAAGACUCUAGAGAGGAUGCAUCCAGACUAAGAGUUUUUUGGUAUUGUGAAAACUGAAUGAGGUACCUUCUACUCUGAUCUACAAGGACACCACUUGCAUCAACCACUGCCAACUCCUACCUGAUUUGAUUGUAAAGAGAACAGAGAAGAUGUUCAAGGAGCUUGCGGAGGCCUCUCUGGAGCAUGGGAGAGUAGCUUAGAAACGAAGUGGUUGAAGACUCCUGAUAAUUCAAGUAUCACAAAUAUGUUUGGGAUAAGCCACAAAAAUGCUGCUCUAAGGUCAAGACUACUGCUGGAGUGAGUGACUGCUUCCUAGCAUGAAGGGGCAAAAAGGAGGCUUCAGUGGACUUGCUUCCAGUGUCUGCCAGUGCCUGUGAGUGCAGUUCAGGCCCUCUGUAUUUGGGAUCUUUAAAAUAUCACCAAGAAGAAAUGACCUUUCUGUGUAGCCCAGAAGUGGUUGUUUUAGAGUCUUUUAGUGGGUUUUGAAGUGGAAAAACCAACAGUCAAAAUGGAAGGAUUAUUUCCCUCUUUCCUUGUAUGGGCUUCAGGGUGGCUGAAAUCUGGAGGGAUUUUCAUCACUGUCUACUUGAAGUGAGAAACUGCAGGAUUGCGCUCAGUAAAAAUGCUCCAGUUCUCCAAGGUGUGGAGCAGUCAUUUCUGCCUUCACUGUUGGCCAAUCUGCGGCUGCUCUAUGCCUGUGUGAAGCAUGUUCAUUCUGCAUGUGUCUCCGUAGCAGCUGGCUUGUGGGUGUUCAUAAAAAAAGUCACUUAAAUGUGUAAAAAGAAUGACAGGUUGAUUUUGUUAAAGGAAACCCUCCCUUUUAUUUUUUUCCCCUUACUCUCCCCUUAAGUGUAACUGUUGCAUAGAGGUGUCUGGCUUGCAUCGUAGUGUGUUGAUGCAUGGAUCGUCCACUGAAAAAGAGCCAUCCUUGCAAUCAGAGUGGAACUUUGGCUUAGCACAGAUAUAGCCCCCUACUUUCCCUAAAAGAGUCCUUAAGCACAACAAGGCAUUGUGCAGUCUAUCAGCUUUUUAAAAAUAAAUUGUAAUUUAUCUGCCAUGAUCCCUGUGAAAAAGGCAGACCCCAUUUUCCAGCACACAGCAGAUUAAAUGGCCACUGUGAUAUAUGCAGAUUCUUCUCUCUCUGAGUUCGUCUCAGCUAGCAUUAGGUAUGAGAAAAUCCAUAUGGUACUAUACAUGGAGGUUCUUGUUAUUAUAUUAUUUUAUUUUUCAAAUAUUUUCCAGUGUCCCCAGUUAAAACAGCGUUUUUAUUGUGAUGCAUGUGAUGCUUAAGAGGUGAAGCUGUUUCCUAUUUGUUUUGAUUUAUGUCAUUUCAUUUAGGCUUAGAAUUUUUAAGCAAGUUCUAACAGAAUGCAGUGUUCACUAACAUCUGGAUGAUUUUGUACAUUUCUCAGCUAUCUAAGCCUCAUUAUGACAGUUAAUACUAAUUCACCACGUUUCUGAGAUUUUUACAGGUCAUCUACAGCAAUAGCAUUUCUGCCCUUCAGUGGAAUUAAGACUUUUAAAGUGUUUUUUACCAAUGUAGGGUUACAGAUAUAUUAAAAAGUUUUAUAAAUGUUGGGGUGAAGCUGGCUUAUUUUGAGCCCCUGAAAGCCAUUGCAUUCUCACUUGGGUCCUGUGCUGUGCAACCCCCUUUCCCAAGGUCCUAUUUAGUUUGCAGUAUCUGUCUCCCUUCUCCCAGCAGAGGGCAUGUCCCAUCUGACAGCUGUGCUGGGUUGAGCCAAACUGUGCUGGGAUUUUGUGCAAAUUUAGGCACUCGGUGUCACUCCAUUUUUUCUCUUAGCUCUGAAACUGAACACAGCACUCUGAAUGCUGAAAGACCACUGCAAGUCCAUCCGAAACCGAUGAUUAUUGCCAUUAUUUAACAUUUAUGCUCUUCUACAACCUCAAUGCAAUGUUCUUUCUUCCAGAAGCUUAGAUAAAACCAUAACACUUAUAGAAAAUAUUUUUGUACUGAUUUUAGCCCUGAGCCUGUGUUCCAAGCCAUCUGAAUGGAGUUGUGAAACCUCCACACAGUGACUGUGGGCUGCUUUCAGAAAUAGUGCUCAAUCAAGUCAUUGAACCUCUGCUGCUUAAUAAGUCAAGAUAGAUCCAGUACUGUGCUGUGAAAUGGUUCAGAAAGUGGGUAAACCAUGACAGAAGUAAAGGUGAUAGUAAUAAAGGCCUUCGAAAUGUCAUGAGGACUCUGCUUUUCCAGAAGAGUUCAUCUGCAUCGUGCUAUCCCUGUUCUCUUAUGCAGGUGUGUUUCCUAGUACAGUAGAUUCCAGAUUAGGGCUCUUAGACUCUUCACUAAAAAUUAAUAGCAAAGAAAUAUCUUAAAAAUCCAAGUACUCCAGAAAACAGUGGCUCCUUUCCAGUGACUGGCUUCAUGUAUCCUAUUCCUGGAGCAUGUGCUCCACGCACGCAAAGUAGACUAAGCGUCAGCAAAGUUACAAGGGCAAAACCUUCCUCAGAGAGACUGAUGCACCAGAACAGGAGUCUAACGUCACCUCUGUGAACGGUCCCAUGACCAGCCUCCCUAAGAAAGUGUUACUCUUUAUGAAUCCCUCUCUUAAUGUCAGUUGGGAUGUUGCUUUCAUCCAGCCAGGCCUUUGCUUAGAGCUGUAUAGAAUAUAUUGUGCAGAGGUGUUGGAUGACGACAUAUCCCUUCUUUUAAGGCUGUCCUUUAUUUUUUGAGGUAUUCCUGAGGGUGAUUACUUCUUCCUUUUUCUGAGUCAUCACUUCAUUGGUUGCCUGAAUAAAAGGUAGUUUGACUCAGUUCAACACCUGAAGAGUGCUGAUAAACAAUAAAUUCAUUAAGUCUUGUUUUCAGUGUAGAAUUCAGCUGAAAGAAACCUAGGGCCUUAACAAAAGCUAGCUAAAAAUCUCAAAAAAUGCUUUUCUCCUUGAGCUGUGUUUAGACUUGAAUGAAUUGCACAUCAAUAGGAAGAGUUAUGUGUUUGAUCAUUUUCCCAUUGAACGUGUUAUGAACAUCUGUAAGGAACUUUUACUCAGGGGAAGAAGACUUCUGGAAAUGUUUUCUUUUAGCCAACAAAUACUUGCCACAAAUGAACACUAUAUAUUUCAUUGCAAGGUGGGUUCAAGGUACAAAAAAAGUUUUUAAAUAUGAUAACAUGGCGGGUCUUUCUGGCAGGCCCCUGAGCACUCCCAGAUAGACCCCCUCACCAGAGCUCUGUGGAAAUUUUCAUGCAAACUUAGUGGCUGUGUGAAAAGAGAACGAUGAGCUGUUCUGAGCUGCUCUGCAGUGGCUGGAGGAUUAUUCUGUGUGCCAAAGCUCUAGAGAGGGAAAGCCUCUAAGCCCUGCAGUAGAACUUCGAAGACAAAAGUGCUCCCUUGGAGCUUAGCAUAGCGACAAGGACUGAAGCACAACAGACACCUCAGGGGAAAACACUCUCAAAUAAUGUGAGGGACUCAAUAAGAUUCUGCUGGAAGUCUGCAGUGUGAAGAAUGAAGAGACUGGUCAGAAGAAGACAAAGAUCUGGGAAUGACUGAGAGAAGCAGUGUGAGUAACAACUCCUCUGGAGGGAGUUCUGUUUGCUGUUUCAUCUGUUUCAUCUUCUCAGCUGCCUUGGUUGAAAUCAAGUCAUAUAUACUUGAUCUCAGAUGUUAAGAUUUACAAGUACAUGGCACAUGCAGAAAGAGACAAUCCUAAAUUUCUCAGUCUCUAUAUGGAUAUAUGUUCUACUCCCUAUGAAAUGCAAAACGGUGCACGGGAAUGAAUUUCCAGCAAAGCUGAAAUCUACCUAAAAGAAUUGCAUUAUCUGCAAGAUAGCAUUAUCUGUGUACUCAGACUUUCAAUAUCUAAAGAAGAUUAAUUACAUAUAUCAUCAGGGAGUAAAUACCAACAGCGUGGGACACUAUAUUUGGAGCUUAUUGACUCAGUAUUCAGAGGUGCAAAACUGAUACAGUUGAUCACCAUCCAACUUUGUGCCCAAAUAUUGGUCCUGUAUGCUUGGUUCAUUGAUUUAUAUCCCUGUGUGGAUUGUGACCAUGAUAAUGUCUUCAGUGAUUACAUUUCAUCUGUAAGAAAAGAUACUCCCUUGUUUCUAAAAAGAUGCUUUGCAAAUGAUGGUAUGAGUGACAAUAUGAUUUUGAAUUAGCCAAUACAGAUAGCUGGACUAUUAGAUGGAAGACAUUGUAAAUAGGGCAGAUUAGAAAAAUAAUUGUACUUCUAGAAACGAAGCUUUUGAAACCUUUUCUUUAUUUUCCUGCUAAAAAAUUUGAAGCUACUAAAAACAAAAACACCAUCGUGGCUGACACAGAAGCAAGAAAAGCAUAUUGUAGAGUACCCAAUGUCUAGACUAUCUGUAGGUCUUCAUAUAGCUAUCACUUGAUCAUGACAGGAAAUUAAAUAAUAUUUAAUUCUAAGAUUCAUCCAUAUUUAAAAUAAUACAGUGAAAAAUACAGUGAAAACUAGAGUUAUUGCCAAAAUACAUUAGUUAUUUUUUCAACUGAGAAAGCAAUUAAAGGGUUCAUUGAAAAAGGCAUACUUCCUUUUGUGGUCAGUGAUUCCUCAGACCAUUACAUUUCAAAAUGCUUUUCAUAGCUUUUUAAUAAAUAGCUGAAAGGGAAAUGCUCCAUUGUAUGAGUAUCUUAAGUCAACAAUGAAGCUGGAGGAAGAGAAUGAAUAUUUACUUCCACCCAAUUGCCUGUCUCCCAUCAUCAAAACCUCCAGUAGGCAGCUCAUCUUUGACUUUGAAAGAUCUGUGGCAAAAUUAUUCAAUUACUUUUCCUUAUCUACUAAAGGAAUUCUAGAAUUAUCAGGAGAUUAUUGCUGAAAGAUUCUAAAAUUGCAUGUGACUAUCAAAAAUAACCAUUGUACGCUAGGGGAAGAUUUCCUGGUAGACAUCUUAAAGUUCUUAAAGAGUAACGUAAAUGGAGAUAAUGAUGAAGAGAAAUAAGUACCUAACUACUAAUUAUGCUUCUUUCACAGUGUAUUAAAAAUGUUUAUGAUAUAUCCUUAAAAUGAGAAACAACAGGCCUUGUAUGCCUUCAAGCUUAUGGCCUCAGGUGUUAAUUUAAGGACAAUUUACAGUGGUCAACUGACAAGCAAAAGAACUGUAGGAUGGUUUAGGCACCUUUUAAAAAAAUUUUUGAUUUUCCAGGAAAUCAUAGCAGGCAAAGAAAGACGUCUGUAUGCGGAAUAGCAUGUGUUGAGGUUCAGUGGAAUGUGUGAGCCUGCUUCAGAAGUCUUGUCUUAGAAAAAGGUGCAGUGUUUUAUCUUUGAAAAGUAGCUAUCUCACUUUAAAAAGCUCCCCAGAUAUUAUGGAGCUUGUUACCAGCUUUUGUACCUCUAAUACCACAGUAGAAAAAGUAUUUUUCUUGUGUAAACAGAAGCAAGCAGAUUGCAGAAAUGUACAUUUGAUUCUGCUAAGGUUGAUCUUCAAAUUAAACUAAAUUUCAAUUGUAUGUACAAAAGCUUUUAUUAAAUGAUUUAAAGAAAAAGAUAUAUUGAAAUAAAUGAUGUAUUCAGAUUGAUAUUGAGCACAAUUUUAAAGAACGUUCAACUCAAUGAAACCCUUUGCAUUGUGUUUUCUGUACCACCUCUACGCAGACACCACCUCUUUAGUGUGUAUCACUUAGAUAAGAAGAACAGAAGAGAGUUAGAUCUGAGUGCACGGCCUCUUUAUAUUACAUAUAGAAGGAUGAAAGCUCAGCUUUAUGCAAUCUGACUAAAGACACUUAACUAGGACGUCUAUGCACUCCAAGCCUAAGUCAAUGAAGAAAGAUCCAAGAGAGCGCUGAAGACAGACACCAACAACUACCAGCUUGUGCUUUUCUGCAGACUGCUGAAACAUGAACUGCUUAUUUAUAU